CUGGCCUGGCUGGGAGGCGGCCUGGGAAGGGACCUGUGUUUCUCAAGCCCGCGCCCUCGGGGCCUGGGGGUGGGGCCCGAGCAGAUGUCUGCAUUUGGUGGCCAGGGCCCGGAGCCGGAUGCUGAGAACGAGGCCUGCAACUCAUUUCUCCCCGUUAGACAUUCUCAGAACAUCUGCACCGUUUCCAAGGCUUCUCCCUCACUAAUUGCUUUGAUUAUUGUGUGAAGUUAAGAACUGGCACAUUGCUGCGAUGUUGUGAUGAAGGUGAAAAGAUCGCUCUUAAUUAGAUUAAAAACAUUUUUUUCGUCCUCUGUAAUUUCGCCUUGAAAAUCAAGGCCAUUUUUUUUCAAUUUGUUUUCUUCAUCCAAAGACCUCCAGAAACCUUCCCCACCACCUCUCCAGAGGGUUCUUGGGAAUGUCCUGUGAGCUCAGCUCUUGGAGAAGACCGAGCUUAACCCAGAUUCCAUUGUAU
rnacentral:lncRNA from 1 species